rnacentral:pre_miRNA from 1 species
UCUAAGUUUUUUUUAUAGAAUUUUUGACUUUUCGUCUUAUUUGAAAAAAUUUUAUGAUUAAUAUUUUUAUUGUUACUAUGUGAUAGAACAUGAAUAGUACUUUACAUCUGACUAAUUUUUUUUAAUUUUUUAAUAAUUUUUUCAAAUAAGAUAGAUAGUCAAACGCUCCAUGCACGGAACUUAGA